rnacentral:lncRNA from 1 species
GAGUAGAUCGAACUCCUCCCCACACCACACCGAGACACACCGACUCGAGGCCGACGCCGCGCNNNNNNNNNNCCUCCGCGCCCCGGCGACUCCACCAGUACAUCGUCGUGCCCCCUCCAGACGCCACCUCCUCGUCCGGCGUUGCGCCGGCCCCCCUCAGUCGCCGGGUCCCCUGCAGCCGCCGCCCCGUCCCCCCUGCAGCCGCCGCCACGCAUGGUUGAGAUUGAUUUUUGUUGAUUAUUAGUGUUGGGAGAUAUCAUGUGAUGAUGAAUGAGAUGGUUGAUUUUGAUUUUUGAUGAUUAUUGU